UAAUGUUUCACGGACUUAUGAAGAAGAACGCGUCCUUCCUUCCAGCAGUUCGCCUGGUGCCCGCUCAGGGUCCACAGCACCUGGUCAUACUCGUCGGGCUUUUGGUAUCGCAGUUUGAUCUUCAGGGUGCCGACGUGGGCGCCGGACAUGUGAUACCAGAAAGUCAUGCAGUGGGCAGAGUUCUGCGAGUAAAUCACAGGGCUCAGCAGCCGGGCGACUUUGCCUUUCUGGCUCUCGUCAGCUUGAGAGUAAAUGAAAUUGCCAUCUCCUACUGUGACAGAAGGACUGGGUUAGGAAUAGUGACCAGCUCGCAUUUUCCUUGUUAACCUAAGAAGCCCCAGGUGCUGCCAUGUGGGAGCCCGGAGUUCGGGAUGUGAACUUGUGCCUUAUUCCCGGAAGGAAAUGGUUCCUAACAACACAAUACAGGGAAGUAACGCUGGCACGCUCCGAAGGCAAGCUCCUAGGCCUCUCUCCCGGACAGAAGACGUGGCUCACUGCGGAGUAAAUGAAGGCAGUGCAGGGGGGGGAAAUAAGGAGAGAAAAUGAGGAUAUCUGCAUCUCUGGCAGCAACAGUCAAUCUGUUACUGAAGAAUCCCACCCGUGUCAAAGGGAUUAAACACGACUUGCAAAUAGGACUGACACUGGGGAGGAGGGAGGGAGGUUGCAUUGCAAAGAGGGGUCUUGUGAAUUUGUAAUUAGCCUUUGUUUAAAUGCAAGGAGAUAUUAAAAAAAAAAAAAAUCUAUCAGAAUCCUUCAUUUCAGCAAAACUGGCAAAAAUCAAAGGAUAUUAGACAGAAAAAUUAAAUCGUUUUACUGUAAAACUGCUGCAAUACCCUUUCUUCCUUUCCCUCCCCUUCCAAAAUGUGGGAUCACAGUCCGGCAAGAGUGCUGACUGUGAGAGAAGUGUCCCACAAAGGUAUGCCAGCUGGCCUCGGUGUCUCUAAUUGCCCUGAUAUGCCACAAUCUCAUCCUGAUCAGAAACCAGGGCAUGGCUUGAAAUAAUAUAUGCUGACUAACCAAAAUUUAUGACCCUGGAAACAAAUUCUGAGGUGAGUAAAAGCAUUCACCUCUGCAAUAUCAGAACUCAGAGGCUGGCGAUGGGAACAAUCUCUUGGUAAGUCUAUUGCUUAAUCAGGUCGACACCACCAGUGUCCUUCAGAAAACUUUUGUGUUAGUGCCAUUCUUUUACUUGAAGCAAAAGCGGAUUGUGGCAUAUGGUUGAGGAAGCAAUGAUAAACACUUACCCACCCUGUUAAUAAAUCACUUGCCAGACUGUGCUUGACUGUACUUUAACGGAGGAAAUGGGAGUAACUGAAAACUGACCUCUGUACUGCUCCACAAUUUUUAAUGCAAACCAUUUUAAUUUGGUGCUCAUACCUUUCGGAGUUGGAAUUUUCUGCCCAAAUCCAUCCUCUCCCCCCACCUCCAGUAAAAUAUGCAAGAUAUUAAAAAAAAUGCAAUGAAAGCUGUGGAAACAGAAAACUUGCUAGUUAUUGUAUCAAUUAAGUAAAGAGGACCUGCUGCCAGUGACAACUUGCUUUUCCCUUUUCAGGUUCAUGGUAGCAGUUUAUACAACCCCAUUUUGAGAGUACUUGCUAGAAAACAAUAUUGUAAAACUGCCAGCUCCAUGGUGGAGAAAAUCAGCAAACUUUCCUUGUCUUAGUUUUGUAAAACCAUGGAUAUAAAUAGUGAAAGUGCCUGUGUGGCUCUGUUUAUGUUUUCCUUGAUUCUGCAAACACACUUUGUGUCACUGACAUGACACAUUUAAACAGUGUACUGUGUGAUUAAGUUAGUUUAAUUUUGUCAGCAUUUGGCAUUUGCUGAUGCAGAAGGAAAUCUUGUUCUCUGCUGUGUCUACAUGUGGAUGAAAGGAAUAAAAUAUUUACUGUACAGA